GAAGGACAAAGAAGAUGUGAGUGGAGAAAAUGGCCAGGGGGGCCCACUGUCUGCCAGACAAAUCACGAAGGCCCGUGUUCCCCUUUGUCCACUCGGGGGACCAGGAAGAGGUUCCUGUACCAUAGACAGCAAAACAGAGAGACAGACAGAGCUUAUGUUCCUGAAGACAUUGUUAAGCUGAUGAAUCAACCAGCCCCGAAGGCUGGAACAUAGCUAUGGAAAUGCGUCCUGUUCUGCAGAGCUCCUUCAGGGGGGAAUUUGGCUUUACCCCCCCCCCCCAUGUCUUCUCAUCUCCAGAGGCUGGCACCGUCCUUGGCACAGAGGAGGAAUAUCAAGAAUCCUGGAUUCAAAGACAAGAAAGACUGUGCACCCUGAAGGUUGUGGCAAGAUGCAAAAGACCCCCGCAAAGUGUGUUGUGUAGAGUUGCUAACUACUCGGGGGUCAGUAAAAGUCAGCACCUUCUGAUUUUUCUCCAUACUCAUUGCCGUCUGUGAGAGACCGACAUUCUUCCAGCAAGUUAGCAAAUGGUGCGUCGGUGCCUA